UCUGAUUGAAGAAGGUGGGGGGGCCACUUCACUCGGGUGGGGCAGAAGGAACAAGCAUCAUGGCGUCGGUCAGCAUGAAUACUGAAGUUCAGCUGCUGGCAUCAACUGUGAAGCUGAGUGACAAUUAACUUUUUCAGCGCAUAAAAUUAUAACAUCUAAAAACUUGAGUUCUACAUUGUCCUUUUUAAAAAGCCAGAUUAAAGAAAAUAAAUGCAUUAAUACUUUGUAUUGCCACAUGUGUUGAUGCUGAUGGCUGCGAGCAGGAAGGACGUCCUGUAGCAGUCUGUGUUACAGCCUCUGACUGAAGACACUGUUUUUCUGAUGAAGACGUCGCUCAGAGUGAGCCCUGCGACAGACUGGAGACCUGCCUGGUGACCCAGGUGACCCGCCUCUCACCCGAAACGUUAGCUGGACAGGCACCAGCAACCCUCCCGACCCACUGAGGGACAAGGGUGCAAGAAAAUGGAUGGAUGGAUUUUCAGGUGACAACUUGAAAGUAAGACAGAAACUCAAAGCAGAAGCCCAAGAGGAUCAGUCACUGGUUCUGCUGAAGAGAUGGACUCACUGGAUGAGCUCGGCCUUCCAGCCUCCACUGCAGAGAAGUUAGAAGUUCUGAACCAAAAGCUGGAAUCAGGAGCUGUUCAGAAAUAAACUGGUUCUCCGAGGGACCUGAUCUGCUGUCUGCAACAUUUUAUCCAAAAUCCUCUCAAACCACCAAGCAGAGCAGCAGAGAUCUAUUCAGACUGGGUGGAGAGAGAAGAGAGUCGUUCUGCUCACCAGCUCUUGGUGACUGAAAUAUUUAGGCUGUACCAAAUUUUCAGGGGCUGUACCAAAGAACCAAGCGUCUGAUUCAGAACACCAAAAGUUUUAAGGCUCAAGGUCGUCUGGUUUGUUUUUUUAUUAUUAUUAUUUUGUGCAUGUGUCAACGCUCAUAAAAUAAGUUCUGGUGUAAAUAUUUCUUUUAUAAUUAUAUUAAGCACCGGGUUUGCUGACUUUGCUUUGAUUGUUUGUUAUUGUGAAUCUUUUCUAAAAACUCGUGUUAUAAUGGAUGCUGUUUUACUUUGUUCUAAGAAGGUUUC